AUAUUAACUUUGGCCUUAUCCAACUACAAAAAGAAGACCGGUUAGAGACUACAUAAUUCCUACUUGUAUGUUAAAAGUAAAGUCUCCAAGGUCGGUCAAAUAAGUUGUGUUUUUUCUUUUUGGAAGGAAGAGGUAUGAGGAUAUUUGGGAAGCACAUAUUUCCAAGACAAAUUGUACUAUUUGCAUCUGGGAUGUUAUUUUUGGGUUCAACAACAUAUGAUGUGCAUAGAUCCAUAAAGAACAACCAAACACCACCUUCAAAGGAGCAAAUCCAAGCAUUUGAAGACUAUCUCAACCGCCGUUCUUAGGGCAUCUUUCUAUGUUCGGUGCACAAUAUGCCACGUAUUCCUCUUAUCUACUUUUCAUCUCUCAAUUAAUUUUAUAUCUACUAAACUAAUAUUCUGUACCUAAUAAUUUAUAAACACAUGUAAUUUAUCUUAGGGGCGUACAAGAUCGAAUUGAAUUGAAAAAAGAAUCUGAUUAUUGAUUUGAUUUGGUAU